GUGCUCACUUCGGCAGCGCAUAUGGUAACAUUGGAACAAUAUGGAGAAGAUAGAUCAAUGUGGCCCCUGUGCAAGGAUGACAUGCAAUUCAUGAAGCGGUCCAUAUUUUU